rnacentral:rRNA from 1 species
AUUGAACGCUGGCGGCAUGCUUUACACAUGCAAGUCGAACGGCAGCGCGGACUUCGGUCUGGCGGCGAGUGGCGAACGGGUGAGUAACAUAUCGGAACGUACCCAGGGGUGGGGGAUAACGUAGCGAAAGUUACGCUAAUACCGCAUACGCUCUAUGGAGGAAAGCAGGGGAUCGCAAGACCUUGCGCGCUUGGAGCGGCCGAUAUCUGAUUAGCUAGUUGGUGGGGUAAAGGCUCACCAAGGCAACGAUCAGUAGCUGGUCUGAGAGGACGCCCAGCCACACUGGGACUGAGACACGGCCCAGACUCCUAAGGGAGGCAGCAGUGGGGAAUUUUGGACAAUGGGGGCAACCCUGAUUCAGCAAUGCCGCGUGAGUGAAGAAGGCCUUCGGGUUGUAAAGCUCUUUUGUCAGGGAAGAAACGGUUUUGGCUAAUAUCCAGAGCUAAUGACGGUACCUGAAGAAUAAGCACCGGCUAACUACGUGCCAGCCGCCGCAGUAACAC